AUGUUCAUCAUGGUCAUCACGAGCUUCACAUGCAUCAACAAAGAACUCAUUACACCAGAACCAAUGCAACCUGAUCACAGAACCAGUCAGCAUUGUCAAUUUACACAUGUGGUAAAUCUGUACCCCUUGUCUCUCCACAGCUGUACAACAGCAAAAAGUUCCCCACAGUUAUUUCGUGCUCUGGCAACACCCAGUGCAAGUGUUGCUCGUUACCUUUCCAACUUUCUGCCCUUACCUGAGAUUGCUGGAGCCCUUAUGGAGGAGUCAGAAAGGGCCAGGGCUUGCCCUGCAGGGCUGCUGGAGGGGCUGAGGCAAAGCAACUUGUGGGUUUGGAGCCUGCUUUGCCCUCUCCUGCUCUGCCAGGCAUGCUCCAGAGGACUGCAGCUUCUUCCAGGCUCAUCUUCAUCCUCAGAAUGUAACUGGAGAAAUCUUUAGUGAAAUUCCCAAAGGACUGCUUGCUUCACGGUGAUUAAGGAAUGCUGCCAUAAUUCAGAAGAUGGCUUCCAGCUGUCAGAUCAGCUCAAGUUCAGGUCAAAAUUUGGAGGCCUCUUUAGAGUGUUUCUGUUGUUUCUGUUGUCCAGGUAAGUUAAUGGAAGAAAUUGCUCCCUGUGGCAGGUCAUGAACCUAAUUACCUUAGAAACAUUACUACAAGAGAUUGAGAAGAUCUUCUGAUACUAGUGAGGAUGAAAAGAAUUGAUGGCUCUUUGUGGAUAGAUUGGCCGAUUUGUGAUUUCUUCUAUGUUUUUCUUUUUAGAUAAAUAUAUAAAUAGCCAUGUGGUCUAGGAUGUGAUAUUUGAAUUCUGCUCUUAACUCCUCUAAAACCUCUGUUGUUUAAAGGAAGCUACUCUAGAAACAGUCCUGAGACAGGCAAGUUAAUGCAUUUUAAUGAUUUUAAAAUUGAAUUGAAUCACUAAAUUUUUCAGGGUGCCAAAUGUGAGUUUGUUUCUCCAUUGCAGAAAUGCCUUGCUUUAACAGUAUUGUAUUUUGGCUAUUUAUAUGUUAAAUUAUUAUUUUAACAUCUGUGGCAGUACUUUGCAGUAUUGUUUCACCAACAUCUUUGAUUUGGUGAACAUCACUAACAUCAGAUUUUGCUCAAAAUUGUGACAGAAUCCUGCAAAGUUAAAGCAGCAACUGGCAAGUAAGUGGAUGGCAGAGUUCAGCAAAAAAUGGUCUUUUUUUUUUUUUUAAUUUUCUGGUAGAGAAAGCUGGGUGUAUUUAAUUUCUGAGAUAAACAGAAUGGCAAGUUGAAAAUCCUUGUCCUUUGUUUUGACAGAACUUAGGAAUCAUAGAAUUGUUUAGGUUGGAAAAGACCUCCAUGAUCCAUCUAGUCCAACCUUAAGAAUUACGUUCUGUGCUUUGUAAGGAAUUUGCUUAAAUAUUUCCAGAUAAUUCUUUUAGAAGCACUAUAUAUCUUUAUUUACACAUGUAAUGCUACAUUUUAAUGCCUUUCAUCAGGAAGAAGUUGCAGCAUUAAAAAAAUGCUGUGUUAUAAAUGACAAAAUGAUUCUUGUACAAGAAAGUCAGUUUCUUGUACAAAUUCAAAAAAUUGCUGUUUACAUCCCAGAAAAAAUCCUCUGCAUCCAUAGAGGUAAAUUUAAAUUAGAAUUGAUUUCCACAGAGGAUGCUGGUUAAAAAGGAAAAAAAAAAAAAAGCACAGUUUAAAAAUACAUUAUAGCUCUGACACGUUUAUUUUUCUGUGCUUGUUGACGGAGAAUCUUUAGUCAGAAUGCUUUUAAUCAGAAUUAUGUAACGCAAUGUUAUACAAGUAUUUUUUGAAAGGGCUUUCAUCCACAAUAGGAUCAUAAUUUUGCAGAAGACCUUGGUUGAUGGAUUUUGAACAGAUCGUGUUUACCUUUGAUGGCUAUCAUAAUUGUUACUUACAAAUGACACCUAUUAAGUUUUCUGAGUCUCUUUUGUUGUAGCUCACACACAAAACCAAAAUAAAAAGCAGUGCUAAACAUUAAAAUGUAACGGA
rnacentral:lncRNA from 1 species